ensembl:lincRNA
ACACGCUGUGUUCCACUUUGUCCUCGGAGCUGGGCUCGGGGGGCAGUGCCUUGGUGCCCACAGUCCUCCCUCCCCAUUUCCUCUCCUCACCCUUCUUUUGCUUUGUUCUUCUUCUCUCUUUCUCCUUUCCCUCUUUCUCUUCUCUCUCCAUCUCUCUCCAUCUCCCCCACUUUCCCAUACUGCAUUCACUCCAGUGCAUGCUUCCUUAAGAAGGUCCCCACUCUACCUAUCCUUUUAUAUGUAUAUUUGGGACAUACCAUACGGAGGAAGGACCCUUGCUGCAAUGCUCUUUGCUAGCAGGAUAAGGUGACAUGUUUAAUCUGGGCCUGCAUUUGGGAGGAGGCAGAGACCCACCCACGGUCCUGGUUUCUGUGUGGGUGGCUGAGGAGGAGCCUUGCUUGAUCAUCAGUUGGACGCCAUGAUACUCAGAGUCCCUGUUUCCUGCCUUCUCUUGGAGCCUCACCUUUGUGUUAAUUAGUGGUGCUCAACCUUCCUGAUACUGCACCCCUUUAAUACGGUUCUUCAUGUGGUGACCCCCAACCAUAAACUUAUUUUGUUGCUACUUCAUAACUAUAAUUUUGCUACUGUUGUGAAUUGUAAUGUAAACACCUGCAUUUUCUGAUGGUCUUAGGUGACCUCCGUGGAAGGGUUAUCUGACCCCCAAAGGGGUCAGGACCCUCAGGUUGAGAAACACUGGUAUUGGUAAAAUGGAAACUUUAGGAAUUCCCACGGAGACUCUAGGAUGCCAUCUGGGACACCAUAGACAGGACAGUAUAAGGACCCCCAUAAAGUCAGGACCAUGAGUGCCCCCCCCCCCGACUAACUUCAUGCUUUGACAAAUCCCUCCCAUUAAAGGAGGACCCCAGAGCUUUGUGCUUUAGCAAGGUGAAGCCAAAUGAAAAGGCAGGGAGGGCUCUGCCGGGUGGUUCCUGGUUCCCCUUACAGUGCAUCAGACAGAUUGGUAGGCUGAGGUGUGAAGAGGAGCUUAGUUGCAGCUCUGAGCCACCAACGAGUCUGGGUCUGUAUUCUCGAGUGCCUACUAUGUGAUCCUGGAACUUUUAGGAUGGUAGCAUGUAACCCUGAGGUCCCGGUUGUGGAUGAGGGAAUCAUACCGGGAAUGGGGUACUGACUGCCUUGGCCCCUAGCUCAGCCUUUACCAUGAACCCUACUUUCCAGGCCAAGCUGGCUUCCCUGGUCCACAAGUGCCAGGAGAGGAACCGCCUGAUUGAACACCUACUGCAGGAGCUGCCAAGGCACGAGCCCAGGAACCGCCUGCUCUCUGAGCUGGCGCAGAACAUGCUUGAGGAUAUAGCCCUGGCUGAGUAUAGUGCCACCUUCCUGACCCCAGGAGCACCUGAGAUGUUCUGCCACCUGGAUGUGAGCUCCAAGGAGACCUUAGCCGGAGGAGGUCAGUGCACCUGCCAGAAACCUUUCUGUUUGUUCAGCAGAAGCCAGGGCCAGGUGGGGUGGGUGCAAACUGCCCAAUGUCAAACUUGUACCAUGAAGGGGACUUCCUCUCUCUCCCUUUCUUUCUGCUGCUCAACCGUCUUACCACCACAUAGCAUCAGAACAUACU